rnacentral:rRNA from 1 species
UGGGGAAUAUUGCACAAUGGGCGAAAGCCUGAUGCAGCAACGCCGCGUGAGCGAUGAAGGCCUUCGGGUCGUAAAGCUCUGUCCUCAAGGAAGAUAAUGACGGUACUUGAGGAGGAAGCCCCGGCUAACUACGUGCCAGCAGCCGCGGUAAUACGUAGGGGGCUAGCGUUAUCCGGAAUUACUGGGCGUAAAGGGUGCGUAGGUGGUUUCUUAAGUCAGAGGUGAAAGGCUACGGCUCAACCGUAGUAAGCCUUUGAAACUGGGAAACUUGAGUGCAGGAGAGGAGAGUGGAAUUCCUAGUGUAGCGGUGAAAUGCGUAGAUAUUAGGAGGAACACCAGUUGCGAAGGCGGCUCUCUGAACUGUAACUGACACUGAGGCACGAAAGCGUGGGGAGCAAACA